GGUCAAGCGAACAAGUGCAUGUGGUGGAUGCCUUGGCGAUCACAGGCGAUGAAGGACGCGGUAGCCUGCGAAAAGCGGAGGGGAGCUGGCAAACGAGCUUUGAUCCUCCGAUAUCCGAAUGGGGAAACCCGGCCCGUAUGGGUCAUCCGUAACUGAAUACAUAGGUUACGUGAAGCGAACGCGGUGAACUGAAACAUCUAAGUAACCGCAGGAAAAGAAAUCAACCGAGAUUCCCAGAGUAGUGGCGAGCGAAAUGGGACCAGCCUGUACUCUUUAUCUUCAUUGUUAGUCGAAGGCUCUGGAAAGUGCCGCCAUAGCAGGUGAUAGCCCUGUAGACGAAAACAGCGGGGAAGAACUAGGUGUACGGAAAGUAGGGCGGGACACGUGAAAUCCUGUCUGAAGAUGGGGGGACCAUCCUCCAAGGCUAAAUACUCGUGAUCGACCGAUAGUGAACCAGUACCGUGAGGGAAAGGCGAAAAGAACCCCGGGAGGGGAGUGAAACAGAUCCUGAAACCGCAUGCAUACAAACAGUCGGAGCCUCUGCGAAGGGGUGACGGCGUACCUUUUGUAUAAUGGGUCAGCGACUUACAUUCAGUGGCAAGCUUAACCGAUUAGGGCAGGCGUAGCGAAAGCGAGUCCGAACAGGGCGAUUCAGUCGCUGGGUGUAGACCCGAAACCAGGUGAUCUAUCCAUGGCCAGGAUGAAGGUGCGGUAACACGUACUGGAGGUCCGAACCCACUAACGUUGAAAAGUUAGGGGAUGAGCUGUGGAUAGGGGUGAAAGGCUAAACAAACCUGGAAAUAGCUGGUUCUCUCCGAAAACUAUUUAGGUAGUGCCUCGUGUAUCACCUUCGGGGGUAGAGCACUGUCAUGGUUGUGGGGUCCAUUGCGGAUUACUACGCCAUAGCAAACUCCGAAUACCGAAGAGUGCAAUCACGGGAGACAGACAUCGGGUGCUAACGUCCGGUGUCAAGAGGGAAACAACCCAGACCGCCAGCUAAGGUCCCCAAAUAUUGCUAAGUGGGAAACGAAGUGGGAAGGCUAAAACAGUCAGGAGGUUGGCUUAGAAGCAGCCAUCCUUUAAAGAAAGCGUAAUAGCUCACUGAUCGAGUCGUCCUGCGCGGAAGAUGUAACGGGGCUAAGCAAUAUACCGAAGCUGCGGAUGCACAUUUAUGUGCAUGGUAGGAGAGCGUUCCGUAAGCCUGCGAAGGUGCAUUGAAAAGUGUGCUGGAGGUAUCGGAAGUGCGAAUGCUGACAUGAGUAGCGAUAAAGGGGGUGAAAGGCCCCCUCGCCGUAAGCCCAAGGUUUCCUACGCAACGUUCAUCGGCGUAGGGUGAGUCGGCCCCUAAGGCGAGGCAGAAAUGCGUAGCUGAUGGGAAGCAGGUUAAUAUUCCUGCACCAUUGUUAAAUGCGAUGGGGGGACGGAUCGCGGAAGGUUGUCCGGGUGUUGGAAGUCCCGGUCCUUGCAUUGGAGAAGGCGCUCAGGCAAAUCCGGGCGCGGAAUUCAAGGGUGCGAGGCCAUUCACUUAGGUGAAGAAGCAAUCGGAAGUGGUUCCAAGAAAAGCCUCUAAGCUUCAGUUUAACAGGACCGUACCGCAAACCGACACAGGUGGGCGAGAUGAGUAUUCUAAGGCGCUUGAGAGAACUCGGGAGAAGGAACUCGGCAAAUUGGUACCGUAACUUCGGGAUAAGGUACGCCCCUGUAGCUUGAUGCCCCUGCGGGCAGAGGGUGAAGGGGUUGCAAUAAACUGGUGGCUGCGACUGUUUAAUAAAAACACAGCACUCUGCAAACACGAAAGUGGACGUAUAGGGUGUGACGCCUGCCCGGUGCCGGAAGAUUAAAUGAUGGGGUGCAAGCUCUUGAUUGAAGUCCCGGUAAACGGCGGCCGUAACUAUAACGGUCCUAAGGUAGCGAAAUUCCUUGUCGGGUAAGUUCCGACCUGCACGAAUGGCGUAACGAUGGCCACACUGUCUCCUCCCGAGACUCAGCGAAGUUGAAGUGUUUGUGAUGAUGCAAUCUCCCCGCGGCUAGACGGAAAGACCCCAUGAACCUUUACUGUAGCUUUGCAUUGGACUUUGAACCGAUCUGUGUAGGAUAGGUGGGAGGCUAUGAAGCGUGGACGCCAGUCUGCGUGGAGCCGUCCUUGAAAUACCACCCUGGUUUGUUUGAGGUUCUAACCUUGGUCCGUAAUCCGGAUCGGGGACAGUGCAUGGUAGGCAGUUUGACUGGGGCGGUCUCCUCCCAAAGUGUAACGGAGGAGUACGAAGGUACGCUAGGUACGGUCGGAAAUCGUGCUGAUAGUGCAAUGGCAUAAGCGUGCUUAACUGCGAGACCGACAAGUCGAGCAGGUGCGAAAGCAGGUCAUAGUGAUCCGGUGGUUCUGUAUGGAAGGGCCAUCGCUCAACGGAUAAAAGGUACUCUGGGGAUAACAGGCUGAUACCGCCCAAGAGUUCAUAUCGACGGCGGUGUUUGGCACCUCGAUGUCGGCUCAUCUCAUCCUGGGGCUGUAGCCGGUCCCAAGGGUAUGGCUGUUCGCCAUUUAAAGAGGUACGUGAGCUGGGUUUAAAACGUCGUGAGACAGUUUGGUCCCUAUCUGCCGUGGGCGCUGGAUAUUUGAAGGGGGCUGCUCCUAGUACGAGAGGACCGGAGUGGACGAACCUCUGGUGUACCGGUUGUCACGCCAGUGGCAUCGCCGGGUAGCUAUGUUCGGAAGAGAUAACCGCUGAAAGCAUCUAAGCGGGAAACUCGCCUUAAGAUGAGAUAUCCCCGGGGCUUCGAGCCCCUUGAAGGGUCGUUCAAGACCAGGACGUUGAUAGGUCAGGUGUGGAAGCGCAGUAAUGCGUUAAGCUAACUGAUACUAAUUGCCCGUAAGGCUUGAUCCU
rnacentral:rRNA from 1 species